rnacentral:rRNA from 1 species
GACAGAGGGUGCAAACGUUGUUCGGAAUUACUGGGCGUAAAGCGCAUGUAGGCGGUUCGUAAAGUCAGAUGUGAAAGCCCUGGGCUUAACCCAGGAAGUGCAUCUGAUACUGCUGUGACUUGAGUUCGGUAGGGGAGUGGGAAUUCCGUAGUGUAGCGGUGAGAUGCGCAGAUAUUAGGAGGAACACCGGUGGCGAAGGCGCCACUCUGGGCCGAAACUGACGCUGAGGAGCGAAAGCAUGGGUAGCAAACAGG